CAGGAUGAACGCUAGCUACAGGCUUAACACAUGCAAGUCGAGGGGCAGCAUGGUCUUAGCUUGCUAAGGCCGAUGGCGACCGGCGCACGGGUGAGUAACACGUAUCCAACCUGCCGUCUACUCUUGGACAGCCUUCUGAAAGGAAGAUUAAUACAAGAUGGCAUCAUGAGUCCGCAUGUUCACAUGAUUACAGGUAUUCCGGUAGACGAUGGGGAUGCGUUCCAUUAGAUAGUAGGCGGGGUAACGGCCCACCUAGUCUUCGAUGGGUAGGGGUUCUGAGAGGAAGGUCCCCCACAUUGGAACUGAGACACGGUCCAAACUCCUACGGGAGGCAGCAGUGAGGAAUAUUGGUCAAUGGGCGAGAGCCUGAACCAGCCAAGUAGCGUGAAGGAUGACUGCCCUAUGGGUUGUAAACUUCUUUUAUAAAGGAAUAAAGUCGGGUAUGGAUACCCGUUUGCAUGUACUUUAUGAAUAAGGAUCGGCUAACUCCGUGCCAGCAGCCGCGGUAAUACGGAGGAUCCGAGCGUUAUCCGGAUUUAUUGGGUUUAAAGGGAGCGUAGAUGGAUGUUUAAGUCAGUUGUGAAAGUUUGCGGCUCAACCGUAAAAUUGCAGUUGAUACUGGAUAUCUUGAGUGCAGUUGAGGCAGGCGGAAUUCGUGGUGUAGCGGUGAAAUGCUUAGAUAUCACGAAGAACUCCGAUUGCGAAGGCAGCCUGCUAAGCUGCAACUGACAUUGAGGCUCGAAAGUGUGGGUAUCAAACAGGAUUAGAUACCCUGGUAGUCCACACGGUAAACGAUGAAUACUCGCUGUUUGCGAUAUACAGCAAGCGGCCAAGCGAAAGCGUUAAGUAUUCCACCUGGGGAGUACGCCGGCAACGGUGAAACUCAAAGGAAUUGACGGGGGCCCGCACAGGCGGAGGAACAUGUGGUUUAAUUCGAUGAUACGCGAGGAACCUUACCCGGGCUUAAAUUGCAGAUGAAUUACGGUGAAAGCCGUAAGCCGCAAGGCAUCUGUGAAGGUGCUGCAUGGUUGUCGUCAGCUCGUGCCGUGAGGUGUCGGCUUAAGUGCCAUAACGAGCGCAACCCUUGUUGUCAGUUACUAACAGGUCAUGCUGAGGACUCUGACAAGACUGCCAUCGUAAGAUGUGAGGAAGGUGGGGAUGACGUCAAAUCAGCACGGCCCUUACGUCCGGGGCUACACACGUGUUACAAUGGGGGGUACAGAGGGCCGCUACCACGCGAGUGGAUGCCAAUCCCCAAAACCUCUCUCAGUUCGGACUGGAGUCUGCAACCCGACUCCACGAAGCUGGAUUCGCUAGUAAUCGCGCAUCAGCCACGGCGCGGUGAAUACGUUCCCGGGCCUUGUACACACCGCCCGUCAAGCCAUGGGAGCCGGGGGUACCUGAAGUGCGUAACCGCGAGGAGCGCCCUAGGGUAAAACUGGUGACUG
rnacentral:rRNA from 1 species